GACGAACCGAGCGAACGUUGUUCGGAAUCACUGGGCUUAAAGGGCGCGUAGGCGGGUGCUCAAGUCCGGGGUGAAAUCCUCCAGCUCAACUGGAGAACUGCCUCGGAUACUGGGUGCCUCGAGUGUGGUAGGGGUGUGCGGAACUAUCGAUGGAGCGGUGAAAUGCGUUGAUAUCGAUAGGAACUCCGGUGGCGAAGGCGGCACACUGGACCACAACUGACGCUGAGGCGCGAAAGCCAGGGGAGCAAACGGG
rnacentral:rRNA from 1 species